rfam:Gemella haemolysans ATCC 10379 ctg1119035638547, whole genome shotgun sequence.
UAGCUACUACAACCGCACGUAUAAGGUAAACAAGUGAGAAAUCCACCUUAUAUGGCGAGUCUUAGUAAAAAA